rnacentral:rRNA from 1 species
UUUCCGGUUGAUCCUGCCGCCGGCCACCGCUAUCAAGUUCCGACUAAGCCAUGCGAGUCAAGGUAUCGUAAGAUGCCGGCAAACUGCUCAGUAACACGUGGAUAAUCUAACCUUGAGUAAGGGAUAACCUCGGGAAACUGAGGAUAAUACCUUAUAAUUGCUUAAAACUGGAAUGUUUAAGCAAUAAAAGUUCCGACGCUCAAGGAUGAGUCUGCGACCUAUCAGGUAGUAGGUGGUGUAAUGGACCACCUAGCCUCAGACGGGUACGGGCCCUGGGAGGGGUAGCCCGGAGAUGGACUCUGAGACAUCAGUCCAGGCCCUACGGGGCGCAGCAGGCGCGAACACUGUGCAAUGCGCGAAAGCGUGACACGGGGAGCUUGAGUGUCUUGGCAUAGCCAAGACUUUUCUCAUUCCUAAAAAGCAUGAGGAAUAAGUGCUGGGUAAGACGGGUGCCAGCCGCCGCGGUAACACCCGCAGCACAAGUGGUGGUCACUUUUAUUGAGCCUAAAGCGUUCGUAGCCGGUUUUGUAAAUCUUUAGAUAAAGCCUGAAGCUUAACUCCAGAAAGUCUGAAGAGACUGCAAGACUUGAGAUCGGGUGAGGUUAAACGUACUUUCAGGGUAGGGGUAAAAUCCUGUAAUCCCGGAAGGACGACCAGUGGCGAAAGCGUUUAACUAGAACGAAUCUGACGGUAAGGAACGAAGGCUAGGGUAGCAAACCGGAUUAGAUACCCGGGUAGUCCUAGCUGUAAACACUGCCCAUUUGAUGUUGCUUUUCCGUUGAGGGAAGGCAGUGUCGGAGCGAAGGUGUUAAAUGGGCCGCUUGGGAAGUAUGGUCGCAAGACUGAAACUUAAAGGAAUUGGCGGGGGAGCACCGCAACGGGAGGAAUGUGCGGUUUAAUUGGAUUCAACGCCGGA